rnacentral:rRNA from 1 species
UACGUAGGGUGCAAGCGUUGUCCGGAAUUAUUGGGCGUAAAGAGCGUGUAGGCGGCCAGGUAGGUCUGCUGUGAAAACUCGAGGCUCAACCUCGAGACGUCGGCGGAAACCAUCUGGCUAGAGUCCGGAAGAGGAGAGUGGAAUUCCUGGUGUAGCGGUGAAAUGCGCAGAUAUCAGGAGGAAUACCGAUGGCGAAGGCAGGUCUCUGGGCUGACACUGACGCUCAUGCACGAAAGCGUGGGGAGCAAACAGG